rnacentral:rRNA from 1 species
CUACGUAGGGUGCGAGCGUUGUCCGGAAUUACUGGGCGUAAAGAGCUCGUAGGUGGUUUGUCGCGUCGUCUGUGAAAUUCCGGGGCUUAACUCCGGGCGUGCAGGCGAUACGGGCAUAACUUGAGUACUGUAGGGGAGACUGGAAUUCCUGGUGUAGCGGUGAAAUGCGCAGAUAUCAGGAGGAACACCGGUGGCGAAGGCGGGUCUCUGGGCAGUAACUGACGCUGAGGAGCGAAAGCAUGGGUAGCGAACAGGAUUAGAUCCCCUGGUAGUCCAUGCCGUAAACGGUGGGCGCUAGGUGUAGGGGUCUUCCACGACUUCUGUGCCGUAGCUAACGCAUUAAGCGCCCCGCCUGGGGAGUACGGCCGCAAGGCUAAAACUCAAAUGAAUUGACGGGG